rnacentral:rRNA from 1 species
GAUGAACGCUGGCGGCGUGCUUAACACAUGCAAGUCGAACGAAGCAUUUAGAACAGAUUACUUCGGUUUGAAGUUCUUUAUGACUGAGUGGCGGACGGGUGAGUAACGCGUGGGUAACCUGCCUUGUACUGGGGGAUAGCAGCUGGAAACGGCUGGUAAUACCGCAUAAGCGCACAAUGUUGCAUGACAUGGUGUGAAAAACUCCGGUGGUAUAAGAUGGACCCGCGUCUGAUUAGCUAGUUGGUGAGAUAACAGCCCACCAAGGCGACGAUCAGUAGCCGACCUGAGAGGGUGACCGGCCACAUUGGGACUGAGACACGGCCCAGACUCCUACGGGAGGCAGCAGUGGGGAAUAUUGCACAAUGGAGGAAACUCUGAUGCAGCGACGCCGCGUGAGUGAAGAAGUAAUUCGUUAUGUAAAGCUCUAUCAGCAGGGAAGAUAGUGACGGUACCUGACUAAGAAGCUCCGGCUAAAUACGU